GUUCUUUAUUCCAUGACGGCGGCAAGCCUGCGACCGUCGAAACGCGAGUGGGAUUUUUCUCUUGCGUCCGUUGCGCCUGUGAUACCCGACAACUGUAGCAGCAUGUCAUCUGAUCCGACUUCAACUGAAGGCUCGCCGACUGAUGCGGAAGCAGUUUACCUCGUUUCGCACGGGCCACCAAAGAAAAUUGUGAAGUUCACAGGCGCCCGGAAGCUCGCCGACCUUCACGAAAGUGUGCGGAUGGGUGGGUUCGCGCACCUGAUGGCAUGCAACGAUCUCCUAAUACAGCAUGCUGGAAGCUGCACAGGGGAGUUGGCAAGGGGGCACAAGGAAGCAAUGCCCCGUUGCUGUCCGUAGGGUGAACGCAAGGCGGCUCGUGGCGGCCGCAAUUUCUACGCUGCGCUUUUCAUCUCUGAAGCCAUGCGCAGCAGCGUGCUGUCGUCAUGUUCAGAAAAGCAGUGCAAAGAUGCAAAAGGCAUGAGCGCCAUCAUGGUUCUACCAUUUCUUGUCAAUGAGCGAGGGGACGACAUGUUCACAAAAAUGGUUAGUACUUUGAGCUGCUUACACGACCAAGUA